GACGUAGGGGGGCGAGCGUUGUCCGGAUUUAUUGGGCGUAAAGGGUUCCUAGGCGGCUGAGAAAGUCGGAUGUGAAAACUCCAGGCUCAACCUGGAGACUGCAUUCGAUACUGCUCUAGCUAGAGUCCGGUAGGGGCGUGUGGAAUCUCCGGUGUAGCGGUGAAAUGCUUAGAUAUCGGGGGGGAACACCAGUGGCGAAGGCGGCACGCUGGGCCGGAACUGACGCUGAAGAACGAAAGCGUGGGGAGCGAACAGG
rnacentral:rRNA from 1 species